AGCGGCGGACGGGUGAGUAACACGUGGAUAACCUACCUAUAAGACUGGGAUAACUUCGGGAAACCGGAGCUAAUACCGGAUAAUAUUUUGAACCGCAUGGUUCAAAAGUAAAAGACGGUCUUGCUGUCACUUAUAGAUGGAUCCGCGCUGCAUUAGCUAGUUGGUAAGGUAACGGCUUACCAAGGCAACGAUGCAUAGCCGACCUGAGAGGGUGAUCGGCCACACUGGAACUGAGACACGGUCCAGACUCCUACGGGAGGCAGCAGUAGGGAAUCUUCCGCAAUGGGCGAAAGCCUGACGGAGCAACGCCGCGUGAGUGAUGAAGGUCUUCGGAUCGUAAAACUCUGUUAUUAGGGAAGAACAUAUGUGUAAGUAACUGUGCACAUCUUGACGGUACCUAAUCAGAAAGCCACGGCUAACUACGUGCCAGCAGCCGCGGUAAUACGUAGGUGGCAAGCGUUAUCCGGAAUUAUUGGGCGUAAAGCGCGCGUAGGCGGUUUUUUAAGUCUGAUGUGAAAGCCCACGGCUCAACCGUGGAGGGUCAUUGGAAACUGGAAAACUUGAGUGCAGAAGAGGAAAGUGGAAUUCCAUGUGUAGCGGUGAAAUGCGCAGAGAUAUGGAGGAACACCAGUGGCGAAGGCGACUUUCUGGUCUGUAACUGACGCUGUUGUGCGAAAGCGUGGGGAUCAAACAGGAUUAGAUACCCUGGUAGUCCACGCCGUAAACGAUCGCCUGCUAAGUGUUAGGGGGUUUCCGCCCCUUAGUGCUGCAGCUAACGCAUUAAGCACUCCGCCUGGGGAGUACGAGCCGCA
rnacentral:rRNA from 1 species